rnacentral:rRNA from 1 species
GAACGCUAGCUACAGGCUUAACACAUGCAAGUCGAGGGGCAGCAUGGUCUUAGCUUGCUAAGGCCGAUGGCGACCGGCGCACGGGUGAGUAACACGUAUCCAACCUGCCGUCUACUCUUGGACAGCCUUCUGAAAGGAAGAUUAAUACAAGAUGGCAUCAUGAGUCCGCAUGUUCACAUGAUUAAAGGUAUUCCGGUAGACGAUGGGGAUGCGUUCCAUUAGAUAGUAGGCGGGGUAACGGCCCACCUAGUCUUCGAUGGAUAGGGGUUCUGAGAGGAAGGUCCCCCACAUUGGAACUGAGACACGGUCCAAACUCCUACGGGAGGCAGCAGUGAGGAAUAUUGGUCAAUGGGCGAGAGCCUGAACCAGCCAAGUAGCGUGAAGGAUGACUGCCCUAUGGGUUGUAAACUUCUUUUAUAAAGGAAUAAAGUCGGGUAUGGAUACCCGUUUGCAUGUACUUUAUGAAUAAGGAUCGGCUAACUCCGUGCCAGCAGCCGCGGUAAUACGGAGGAUCCGAGCGUUAUCCGGAUUUAUUGGGUUUAAAGGGAGCGUAGAUGGAUGUUUAAGUCAGUUGUGAAAGUUUGCGGCUCAACCGUAAAAUUGCAGUUGAUACUGGAUAUCUUGAGUGCAGUUGAGGCAGGCGGAAUUCGUGGUGUAGCGGUGAAAUGCUUAGAUAUCACGAAGAACUCCGAUUGCGAAGGCAGCCUGCUAAGCUGCAACUGACAUUGAGGCUCGAAAGUGUGGGUAUCAAACAGGAUUAGAUACCCUGGUAGUCCACACGGUAAACGAUGAAUACUCGCUGUUUGCGAUAUACUGCAAGCGGCCAAGCGAAAGCGUUAAGUAUUCCACCUGGGGAGUACGCCGGCAACGGUGAAACUCAAAGGAAUUGACGGGGGCCCGCACAAGCGGAGGAACAUGUGGUUUAAUUCGAUGAUACGCGAGGAACCUUACCCGGGCUUAAAUUGCAGAUGAAUUACGGUGAAAGCCGUAAGCCGCAAGGCAUCUGUGAAGGUGCUGCAUGGUUGUCGUCAGCUCGUGCCGUGAGGUGUCGGCUUAAGUGCCAUAACGAGCGCAACCCUUGUUGUCAGUUACUAACAGGUUCCGCUGAGGACUCUGACAAGACUGCCAUCGUAAGAUGCGAGGAAGGUGGGGAUGACGUCAAAUCAGCACGGCCCUUACGUCCGGGGCUACACACGUGUUACAAUGGGGGGUACAGAGGGCCGCUACCACGCGAGUGGAUGCCAAUCCCCAAAACCUCUCUCAGUUCGGACUGGAGUCUGCAACCCGACUCCACGAAGCUGGAUUCGCUAGUAAUCGCGCAUCAGCCACGGCGCGGUGAAUACGUUCCCGGGCCUUGUACACACCGCCCGUCAAGCCAUGGGAGCCGGGGGUACCUGAAGUGCGUAACCGCGAGGAGCGCCCUAGGGUAAAACUGGUGACUGGGGCUAA